UAUACGGGAAGAAACGCACCUACGUGUAGGUGUCUGACGGUACCGUAAGAAUAAGGACCGGCUAACUCCGUGCCAGCAGCCGCGGUAAUACGGAGGGUCCGAGCGUUAUCCGGAAUCAUUGGGUUUAAAGGGUCCGUAGGCGGGCCUGUAAGUCAGGGGUGAAAGUUUGUGGCUCAACCAUAAAAUUGCCUUUGAUACUGCAGGUCUUGAGUCAUGGUGGGGUCGCCGGAACAUGUGGUGUAGCGGUGAAAUGCAUAGAUAUCACAUAGAACACCGAUCGCGAAGGCAGGUGACCAACCAUGUACUGACGCUGAUGGACGAAAGCGUGGGUAGCGAACGGGAUUAGAUACCCCGGUAGUCCACGCCGUAAACGAUGGAUACUAGCUGUGGGGACUUCGGUCUCCGUGGCCAAGCGAAAGUGAUAAGUAUCCCACCUGGGGAGUACGUUC
rnacentral:rRNA from 1 species